UACGUAGGCAGCGAGCGUUGUUCGGAUUUACUGGGCGUAAAGCGCACGUAGGCGGAUCGUUAAGUCGGGGGUGAAAUCCUGGAGCUCAACUCCAGAACUGCCUUCGAUACUGGCGAUCUUGAGUCCGGAAGAGGUGAGUGGAACUCCUAGUGUAGAGGUGGAAUUCGUAGAUAUUAGGAAGAACACCAGUGGCGAAGGCGGCUCACUGGUCCGGUACUGACGCUGAGGUGCGAAAGCGUGGGGAGCAAACAGG
rnacentral:rRNA from 1 species